UACGUAGGGUGCGAGCGUUGUCCGGAAUUAUUGGGCGUAAAGGGCUCGUAGGCGGUUUGUCACGUCGGGAGUGAAAACUCGGGGCUUAACCCCCGAGCCUGCUUCCGAUACGGGCUGACUAGAGGUAUGCAGGGGGAGAACGGAAUUCCUGGUGUAGCGGUGAAAUGCGCAGAUAUCAGGAGGAACACCGGUGGCGAAGGCGGUUCUCUGGGCAUUACCUGACGCUGAGGAGCGAAAGUGUGGGGGAGCGAACAGG
rnacentral:rRNA from 1 species